UAUGGUAAUUGUGCGCAGCCGCGGUAAACCGUAGGUCACAAGCGUUGUCCGGAAUUACUGGGUGUAAAGGGAGCGCAGGCGGGAAGACAAGUUGGAAGUGAAAUCUAUGGGCUCAACCCAUAAACUGCUUUCAAAACUGUUUUUCUUGAGUAGUGCAGAGGUAGGCGGAAUUCCCGGUGUAGCGGUGGAAUGCGUAGAUAUCGGGAGGAACACCAGUGGCGAAGGCGGCCUACUGGGCACCAACUGACGCUGAGGCUCGAAAGUGUGGGUAGCAAACAGG
rnacentral:rRNA from 1 species